AUGAACGCUAGCUACAGGCUUAACACAUGCAAGUCGAGGGGCAGCAUGAACUUAGCUUGCUAAGUUUGAUGGCGACCGGCGCACGGGUGAGUAACACGUAUCCAACCUGCCGAUGACUCGGGGAUAGCCUUUCGAAAGAAAGAUUAAUACCCGAUGGCAUAGUUCUUCCGCAUGGUAGAACUAUUAAAGAAUUUCGGUCAUCGAUGGGGAUGCGUUCCAUUAGGUUGUUGGCGGGGUAACGGCCCACCAAGCCUUCGAUGGAUAGGGGUUCUGAGAGGAAGGUCCCCCACAUUGGAACUGAGACACGGUCCAAACUCCUACGGGAGGCAGCAGUGAGGAAUAUUGGUCAAUGGACGAGAGUCUGAACCAGCCAAGUAGCGUGAAGGAUGACUGCCCUAUGGGUUGUAAACUUCUUUUAUACGGGAAUAAAGUGGGGCACGUGUGCCUUUUUGUAUGUACCGUAUGAAUAAGGAUCGGCUAACUCCGUGCCAGCAGCCGCGGUAAUACGGAGGAUCCGAGCGUUAUCCGGAUUUAUUGGGUUUAAAGGGAGCGUAGGCGGACGCUUAAGUCAGUUGUGAAAGUUUGCGGCUCAACCGUAAAAUUGCAGUUGAUACUGGGUGUCUUGAGUACAGUAGAGGCAGGCGGAAUUCGUGGUGUAGCGGUGAAAUGCUUAGAUAUCACGAAGAACUCCGAUUGCGAAGGCAGCCUGCUGGACUGUAACUGACGCUGAUGCUCGAAAGUGUGGGUAUCAAACAGGAUUAGAUACCCUGGUAGUCCACACAGUAAACGAUGAAUACUCGCUGUUUGCGAUAUACAGUAAGCGGCCAAGCGAAAGCGUUAAGUAUUCCACCUGGGGAGUACGCCGGCAACGGUGAAACUCAAAGGAAUUGACGGGGGCCCGCACAAGCGGUGGAGUAUGUGGUUUAAUUCGAAGCAACGCGAAGAACCUUACCAGGUCUUGACAUCCGAUGCAUAGCACAGAGAUGUGUGAAAUCCUUCGGGACAUCGAGACAGGUGGUGCAUGGUUGUCGUCAGCUCGUGCCGUGAGGUGUCGGCUUAAGUGCCAUAACGAGCGCAACCCUUAUCGAUAGUUACCAUCAGGUGAUGCUGGGGACUCUGUCGAGACUGCCGUCGUAAGAUGUGAGGAAGGUGGGGAUGACGUCAAAUCAGCACGGCCCUUACGUCCGGGGCUACACACGUGUUACAAUGGGGGGUACAGAAGGCAGCUACACGGCGACGUGAUGCUAAUCCCUAAAGCCUCUCUCAGUUCGGAUUGGAGUCUGCAACCCGACUCCAUGAAGCUGGAUUCGCUAGUAAUCGCGCAUCAGCCACGGCGCGGUGAAUACGUUCCCGGGCCUUGUACACACCGCCCGUCACACCAUGAGAGCCAGGGGGACCCGAAGUCGAUAGUCUAACCGCAAGGAGGACGUCGCCGAAGGUAAAACUGGUGAUUGGGGUG
rnacentral:rRNA from 1 species